rnacentral:misc_RNA from 1 species
GUAGGUGAACCUGCGGAAGGAUCAUUAAUAGAGCAAUGGAUAGACAGCGCCCGCGGAGCUCGCUCCCUGGGGCCACCCUACUUCGGUAGGGUUUAGAGUCGUCGGGCCUCUCGGAGAAGCCUGGUCCUGAACUCCACCCUUGAAUAAACUACCUUUGUUGCUUUGGCGGGCCGCCUCGUGCCAGCGGCUUCGGCUGUUGCGUGCCCGCCAGAGGACCCCAACUCUUGUUUUUAGUGAUGUCUGAGUACUA